GGUUGAAACAUCGCAUCCCGUGCGAUCACCAAAGUUAAGCAACAUCGAUCCUGGUCAGUACCUAGGUUGGUGAGCACUUGUGAAUACCAGGUGGA